CUAGGCAGAUUGUCCUGGCUGUAUAAGAAAGCUAGCUGAGCAUGAGCCUGUCAGCAAACCAGAGGGGGAAACAGCAAGCUUGAGUUGCUGUCCUGAUGCCUUCAGUGAUACAUUGUGACCUGGAAAGGAAGACCUGACACCCUCUUCUGGCCUCUGCUACACUAGACUGAAUAACAAAUCCUCAAAAGAAGAAAUGUAAACAGUCAAUAAAUAUUUUAAAUAUUUUAUUUUUA